rnacentral:lncRNA from 1 species
CGCUUCAUUUCGUCUUUGCUCCUGCUCUCCUGGGCUGCCUUUUUCUGCUGAAACCUCGACACAUCUGCAGCAAAAGCUUGUGAGAGUGAGAUUGCAGCUGUGCUGCACACAGAAAGAUCUGAUAAUUGUUUCAGCAGAGCAGACGUGUGGGCUACCUUCAUUGAGACUCUUGUGCCUAGCUUGAAGGGCGUCCACAGCUGCCUGGCGCUCAUUCACAUCCAGCUGAAGCUCCAACAUUUCGUUCUCAGCAUCUGCAAUUUGAACCAAGGCGUCAUCGACAUUGUGGAGCUAUCGUCUGUGUAGGCAAGCAGAAGGCUAGUGCAGGUGUGCGCACCAUUGAUCUGUGACCUUGCUUGGCGCCAGACUUCCCUAUCUGCUGAAGUGGUGGCCACAAAGGAUCCCAUCUUGUUGAU